rnacentral:tRNA from 1 species
GCCCCGGUCGUCUAGCCCGGUCAAGGAUAUGGGCCUCUCGAGCCCAAGACCCGGGUUCAAAUCCCGGCCGGGGCA